CACACAAAAAAAAUUAAAGAAAAUUGAAAACCCCUCCUACAGCAUAAAAAAAUUAAAGAAAAUUAAAAACCCCUCCUAAUUCCUAGAUUUAGAAAUCUAAGCAAAACACUUGAUGUAAACCGGUAUGAUUCACGGAGGUACUGGAGCAGUGCUUUUUUGCACUAUGAUCUUUUGUCAAUGUGACACUGGUUUAAAAUAAGGGGGUAUAAUAUUCAGAGGGAUCUUGAAGAAGUAGGGAAGAGCCUGCAUAAUGUGUUAAAAAGUCCAAGGAUGAAGCUCUCAGAUGCUGCCAGAAUCCUCACGUCUUGAGAUCUUAAAAUCACAGGCAGCUUGAUUCAUCAGUUCCAAGAGACGUUGGCAACAACUAAAAACGGGAGCUAGAAUGUUCAGCCAGGUAGUACAAGACUAGGAAAAACCUAUUCGAGAUGUUAAGGACAAAACACAGAAGCACAAGAUUGUGGCCUCUUUGCCAGGACUAAUAGAAGGGAAGGAAGAAAGAAGGAAGAAAGGAGGGAAGGACAGAGGAAGGAAGGGAAGGAUGGGAGAGGGAGAGAGGAAGAGAAGGAGGGAAGGAAGGAGGUAGAGAGGAAAGGAAAGUGAAAAGUGCUUAUUGUCUGACAAGAGAACUUUGUGGAAACUGACAAGAAAACUAACAAUCUCUUGGACUAAUAAUAUGAACAUUAGGGGCAUGUGUGCUCAGAACUACUGAAGCAAGUGCUACUGGGAGACAAUUCUCAAUAUGUCUGUCAUGUUCCUGCCAAAGGCACUAACAGUCUUUUCAUCUGGAACAUCUCUUAAAGGGUAAGCAAGCAACUUUGGAAGAUAGAAAGAAUAUCUCCCUCUGGGGCAGAGGCAGUUGUGUUCUGUUUGUUUGUAUUUAGUCCAGGAUAAUAAUUUCUUUCUCUGGAGCAAAGGUUGAGUAUUAUUUGCUGGAAGUUCCUUUAAAAGAAUGUUUCCUACACUCAGAUUCAUUACCUGGGACACAAGACCACUGUGGUUAUAACAGCUACCAGGGCUUCCCUGUAAUGUUCCAGUUAGGACUGGGGACAAAGGAAACAAAUAUGAACAUGACACCCAUAAAGCCUGCAGUGCCAUGGGUAAUAUGCUCCUUUGUCUAUGAUGCAAAAGCUCUGGGUCUUCUGCUGGCACCAUCCAUGAAAUGGUAGCAGGCUACCUUUUAAUUUGCAAGUAGGGUAAUAGUUCAGACCUUUCACAGUUCUUGACGUUAUGCAACUUACAGAGAGAGCAUCACACGGGAUGUUUUUAUAAUCUCUCUCAAAGCAACAACUUUUUAUCUCCUAGGAGACAAUUAAUGCAGACACAGAUGUCAAUGAGAAAAAGACAGGUAGAAGCAUGAGUAGACAACAAAACAGGAAGAAAGUGAUAUUUUAAAUGAUUUAUAAAUAAAGGUGAUAGAUAUAGGCAGAUGGAUAGCUAGCUAGAUAGAUAGAUAUAGAUAGAUGGAUAGCUACCUAGCUAGCUAGAUAGAUGAUAGAGAGAUGGCAGAGAGACAGAGACAAAGACAGGAACACACAGAUAGAGAAUAAGCGCAUUUUGGGUGUGUGUGUGUUUUCAUAUGUGUAUAUGGAUACCGAGCACUGAUAUACAAGAACAGAGGCACCUAAGAAUAAAAUGCGUUUUCAAUUGGCACAUUGUAAAUCAAUUAUACUUUAAUUUAAAAAAUUAAAAAUAAAAUAUUUUCAUAUUUUUCAUUUCAGAGUUUAUAUUUUUGAAAGUAUUUCUCAGACAAGAUACCGAGGCCCCUCAUCAAUGAAAUGAGUUGAGAAUGAAGUAAGUUCGAUUUCUCUUUAUUUUUCUCUUUGAUUUCUAUCUUUGGUGAACCUUCAGGAGAAAUGAUGCUGUAUGAAAAUUAGGUCUAAAAUUGGAUCAUUCAUUUCAAUUUUAUUGCUUGUUCCCUAAAAGAAAAGUGGAAGAGCAAUAAACGAUCCUCGCCUCAGCAUCAUCAAUUUGUAUUCACUGUGCUUUAUAUCUCCCAUCCAGACAUGGCUGUGUCCUGACCUUCCUUUUAAUUUAGUUCCAAUAUAUUUUUAGCAUUUUAUCUCAUGGUCAGUCUCAAAGACUUCUGGAGCAUUUCACAGCUUUCUGAGGUUACAUUUCAGGAAGAUCUCCACAAGUUAGCUUUUUUUUUUUUUGCACUUAAACACAAUGAAAGCUUUCGUUUCCAAGACCUCAGAUAGGCUUAGCAUAUUUCCCUUGGACUUUGUUUCCUCAGGAAAUUUGGUAUAUCAGCAGUAAUCUAGGCCAGAAAAAAAUAAAUUGAGGCAAAAUGUAGGUUUUAUCUAAUCCCUGGAAGCCAUUUUAGCAGCAUGCACUAAGUAAGAAAACUUUUAAUCUCCCCUAAAGCACUGGACGUGAAACAAAUUUCACUUCAUUAAGGGGGCUGAUAUGAGGUCAGAGCCUCAGAGGGGAGUUUCCCAAGUUAUAGCCCCCACCACCCUAAAUUUCCCAAAUCCAUGUCACUGGGAACCAUGAGGUUGCGGGUUCGGUCCCUGCCCUUGCUCAGUGGGUUGAUGAUCUGGCGUUGCCCUGAUCUGUGGUGUAAGUUGCAGAUGUGGCUUGGAUCCUGCGUUGCUGUGGCUCUGGCGUAGGCUGGGAGCUACAGCUCCAAUUUGACCCCUAGCCUGGGAACUUCCAUAUGCCACGGGAGCGGCCCAAGAAAUGGCAAAAAAACAAAAAAAAAAAAGAAAGAAGGAUUUAUUUUUUGCUAGGUUGUUUAAUAAGAAAUGAAGUUAAAAUAAAAAUUGUGCACAACCAAGACUCUCAGGUGGGAGGGUUAAUUACCCCUGCUCUUCCUGACUCUCUCUCAAGAAUCCAUUAUUUCUGCUCCUUAAAGUUGUCAGCUUUGGAAGCCAAGCGAAAGCAUGGAGUAUCUUUUCCAGACCUCUUUAAAGUCUAGCCAAGUGUCACCAGCAUCGUACCUCCACUCAGAAAGCUUCCAGUCCUCUAUAGCCUUUCUUGGCUUGAACCCAGUCUUUUCCCACUUCAGAAUCUCUACUUCUUUUCCCAGGUCCUCUGGGUUCGUUUCUGUUCACAGAACAUUUGUGGCACUGUUACACCUAAAGGUCCCUGAUCUUCCUAAAAGAUAAUACCUUUCCUUGAUCCGGUUGCCGACUCUGUCACCUUCCUGACCUCCUCUUGGAUGACACAUCCCUAUGUGAAUUGCUUGGGAUCUUGCCAUUGAAAUUUUAUAUAGCAGGACUAAUUUUAAACAUACAUUAGGAGCAUGCUUUUGAUUCCUUCUAACUCUUCACCAAUGAAAUGUUUUCAUUAGACAUUCAACAAAUACAUUGAGUGUCUGCUAUGUGCUGGAUAAGUUGCUAGGCACCAGGAAUAUGAGAUCAGACAUGGUUCCUGUUUUCUUUGAUGUUCCAACCUCUCAAAAAUAUUAACAGGUGUUUUCUUUUGUCAUGCAUAAUCGAUCACUAAUACUCAAGCUUGGAAAUAUCAAAUGCAUUCACCUCUUUGAAUCCCUUCUUAACUCUCUAUCCUAGCUUUCACUGGGUAAUUUACAUAAAUAAAAACUCUCUGUGGAUAAAACUUUUUUUUUAAAAGCCUAGAUAGAAAGACACAGCCUUUUCAUAUAGAUUUUACACUAUAAGCUAUUUAAGGAAGAAUUAUCUUAAAGUGAAAAUGAAAAAGCUCUGAACCAACAGUGAGAAUAUCUGGGCUCUGUCACAGAAAAAAAACCACAAGGCUACAGAAAAGCCACUUAACCUUUUGCAUUUCAGUGUCUGCAUCUGUUAAAUGAUGGGUGGGAGUAAAUGUUCCCUUAGCUCUCAGAUCUAAAAUUCAAUGAUUCUAAAUGUAAAAGUAUUUCAUUUAUGAAAUACUGUUCUAGACACAUUUCUCAUGGAAAUUCAGUGAAAUGUAAAAAUUCAGCCAGCAGACACAGGCAAAUUCAUUGGAUAGAGAGGCUGAGAAGGUGCACUGAAAUUCCCCACCAUAAGCAAUCUAGGGGGAUGGCCAGGCCUGGCCUGAGUAUAGGAAAUAUUCAGCUCUCAAUCUGCUCCAUAGUUCAACCUUCUCUCUCAGCAAGGUCAGGCCCAGUGCCAUCAAAAGAUUCUGGGCCGGCAAUGACUUUUUCCUGUAUCUGGUGAUGAACUUUCCAAAUUUAUCAGCAAAAUUAGAUUGAAAAAAAAAAAAAAAAAGCUGUUACUGGAUAUGGAGGACAAUCAGGUCCUGGUAACCAGAUCAAAAUAGAAUGGAACCUAUAUACCCUGCAGGGAUCUGCCAUUCCCAGUACUAGAGCCUGCAGAGAACCAGAGAAUUAAAUGUGGAUUAUAGAAUCAUAAUACCAAUUGCAAUGAUAAUGACAGUAGUAUUGCCUUUCCCAAGGAAAACAAAAUAGGGAAAGAUAGCAGAUAUAUUCUUCAUGCAAUUUUAUACACAGACUUACAGAAAAGUUUGUACGUAAAAUUAAUUUUCAUGCAAAAUAGUCCUAGAGAUGAAUAUCCACUACUCAUUUAAUUCUUAGUUGAAACACAUUUUGGAUACUGGUUCUGAGGGAAAAAUUUGAUUUUUUUUCCCUUUACAUAAUCAUUUCUGUUUCCACUAUGGUUUUGUUAGAGAUGGACUUUUAAGACUAACGCAUCUUAACCUUUGGUACAAUGUCUGCAUACCAUGAAACUGGUAUUUGGCUUAUUCUUUACAUUAUAAUAGAAAAUGUCAUAAACUGAUAUGAGCCCUAGUCUCUCCUGACUUAAGGGACACAAAGUCAAUGACAGAUCUCCAGUUUUCUGUUUUCAUUGACAACACUAGGCUUCUAGAUCAGUAAGUUUACCUUCAUUAGACCUUGGUUAAAUGUGAAAUACAUAGCACAUUAUCCAUAGACUUAAAAAUACUAUUAUAAAACAAUGUCACAGAGCAAGAAUUACACUCAUUUUCUACAUUUCCUAUGUUAUAUUUUGGAAACAUACACUAUUCAUCACCAGAGAAAUAUGACUUAGCUCACAGCAUCCCAUAACCUUGCUACCAGAAGAUUUCCAAUAGCUUUACUAUAGAUGUAUAUUUAAACACUAUUGUAUUUAAUAUGUGUAUUAUCACCCUCUAAUGUUAUUUCAGCCUCUCAGAGGCAGAUCAUAACACUUUAAAAUGUCUAGAGAUGUACAGACUAUACAAUUAGAACAACAGCAGCAAUUUUCCUUGAUGCUAAAUAAAGUUAAAGAGGAUAUUGGGUAGAAACAAAUUAUUUUGUUUCCUUUUUAAUGUUCUAAUUUAUAAAGUAGUAUCAGGCCAUGGUUUUUAGGUGUCUGGAAACUUAGUGUGGUUAUAGUAAAGUGAUCUUAAAAGGUGAUAAGUUAUUGGUUGGUGUGUGGGCUAAUGGAUAUGCUUGCAUGUUUCCAAGUUUUAUGUGUUAUGCAAAAUGAUUACAAUAUUACUUUAGAGUCACUAAAAGCUAUCUUAAAAUUUUGUUAUCUGUAAUUUUUUCUCCCCAAAUGCUAUCUUUUUCUACUCCAAAUCUCACCUUCUCAUAAACAUUCUACUGGAAAUUGCUGUGUGCUCAUGUAACUCAUUUUAUGGAUUGAGGCCAUAAGUAUUAACAAAUUAACUGCAACAGAAUUUGGCAACUUAAAAUUGUAUCUAUCCUCUUUAGAUCUUGCUAAAUCAAAGUCUAUCAAAUGAUAAAGGUCAAUUCAGUAGAUAUGAACUAAAUUGUAAUUCUCAGAUAAAGGGAAAACAAUUAUGAAUUUGCGAUGUAUGCUUGAAGCCAGUGGCUUCUGAGACAUAUACUUUUCAUUCUCACCCAUGUCCUCUGUCAAAAAUGGGGUAUAGCUAGCAUGUACCCCUCUUUUAUAAGUCAACCAAAAUGAGAACUCUUUGGAGACUUUCUGAGUGAUUUCCUGAUGUGCUGACAAGGUAUCAAAGCAGAAAGCGAAAGCAUAUCUUGUGACAUCAAGUGUUAUAACAUGAUAUGCUCUAUAAUAUUAUAUAAGUUUGUCAUAGCAUAUAAUAUGUCAAUAGCAUCUCUUCCAAGAAUGUUAUUGAAUUAUCCUGGAACACACUGGCAGGAUAUAGGUGGCGGAAGAGCCCAUCUUUCUUCAGCAGAAAGGAAGACCACUGUUAAUAAUUCCUGCUUUGGCAGGAAUUUUACUAGAUCAUCCUGUUUGAAGACAUUCUCUUACUAAUCUUUAUUUCCCUGUGACCUCAAAAUUGCACUAUAAUUUUUCCCCUCAGCAAGGCUGGUACAGUUAAGAUUUUUUGAUUUGAUUACACAUUCCAAAUGAAAUAAUACAUUCAUUAAAACGCGAACACAAGAUUUUAGUCUAAAUUCACUAAAUCACUUGACUGAAAGAAAAAUUUGUUUAAAUGGAGAGGCCAAAACACUUGAGUUGUUAUGUUACCUAUGAAUUACAUAAAGUCUAUGGAUGAAGACAACUGAAGAAACGAUAGCAGUAUUAUUAUGAAACUAAAAAGAUGGAAUUAUAAGGAAUUAAACAUUAGAUAAAGAGAAUCCACAAAUGGCACUUUGAAUAUAUAACAGUAAAAGAAGACAUAUAAGAAUUAUGAUAAUCCAUACUCCUCAGGAUUUUUUACUAAGGGUUUUGGGGGGAUCAAGCUAAAUUUUGCACUAUAAAAUUUUUAGUAACAUCAAAUAAAUUAACUCUUAUAAUUUUAUGUUUCCACUAUCCAUUAUGGUUUAGUGAUUCUUCCCCAAAUACCUAACUUUAAAUAAUUUGACCUAUAUCAGUAAUCUACUUAAAUUAAGCCUUCCACUGAAAAGUAAUUAUCAUGCCAAUAAUAGAAAUUCUCUGGGCGGGGGAGUUCCUACAUAUAAAAUAUACUAAAAUGUGAACAACACAAAUUCAAGCAUGAUGCUGAAAUGGCAUGUUUUCCAAAACGUUGACCAUUUUUUAUCCAUUCUUCUUUGUACUUAAAACUUUGAUAGGCAUUACAUUUGUUUGUGAAACUACAUCAAGAACUAUGCUUGAUGUCCACAUUUCCCAACAGUGGUUUUUUUCAUAAGCAUCGCUGUGUUUAAGUUACUCUCCAUUAGAGUGACGAACCACACAGGGGACAAGAAGGCAAAUGGGGAUGAACUUCUGC
ensembl:lncRNA